rnacentral:rRNA from 1 species
GACGGAGGAUGCAAGCGUUAUCCGGAAUGAUUGGGCGUAAAGCGUCCGCAGGUGGCAGUUCAAGUCUGCUGUCAAAGACCGGGGCUUAACUUCGGAAAGGCAGUGGAAACUGAACAGCUAGAGUAUGGUAGGGGCAGAGGGAAUUCCUGGUGUAGCGGUGAAAUGCGCAGAUAUCAGGAAGAACACCCGUGGCUAAGGCGGCUCUCUAGUACGGUACUGACGCUGAGACGCGAAAGUGUGGGGAGCGAACAGG